rnacentral:misc_RNA from 1 species
GUAACAAGGUUUCCGUAGGUGAACCUGCGGAAGGAUCAUUACCGAGUGAGGGCCCUCUGGGUCCAACCUCCCACCCGUGUCUAUCGUACCUUGUUGCUUCGGCGGGCCCGCCGUUUCGACGGCCGCCGGGGAGGCCUUGCGCCCCCGGGCCCGCGCCCGCCGAAGACCCCAACAUGAACGCUGUUCUGAAAGUAUGCAGUCUGAGUUGAUUAUCGUAAUCAGUUAAAACUUUCAACAACGGAUCUCUUGGUUCCGGCAUCGAUGAAGAACGCAGCGAAAUGCGAUAAGUAAUGUGAAUUGCAGAAUUCAGUGAAUCAUCGAGUCUUUGAACGCACAUUGCGCCCCCUGGUAUUCCGGGGGGCAUGCCUGUCCGAGCGUCAUUGCUGCCCUCAAGCACGGCUUGUGUGUUGGGCCCCCGUCCCCCUCUCCCGGGGGACGGGCCCGAAAGGCAGCGGCGGCACCGCGUCCGGUCCUCGAGCGUAUGGGGCUUUGUCACCUGCUCUGUAGGCCCGGCCGGCGCCAGCCGACACCCAACUUUAUUUUUCUAAGGUUGACCUCGGAUCAGGUAGGGAUACCCGCUGAACUUAAGCAUAUCAA